CUCUUCAGCUGGGUCUUUGGAGAGCUGACUUCUUAUCCUUCAUGUCUAUCCAUGUCACCUCCUUAGAGACCGUCCCUGGUCACCUUGUCUGAAGAUGGCAUUACCCCUUCUCCAGCUGAGGCCCCACUGCGAGGACUCUUGAAGAAUGCUGCCCACUGCCACCGCCCAUCCUGCGAAGGCCAAAGUCCCUGCAAGAGUGGCAGAUCGUAUACUCUCUGGGAGCCAAGGAUGAAGUUUUGUAUCUUCCAGCUCUGAUAAAUUUGGAAGCUGUGAUAACCCACUAUCAAUGAGUACCCCUAGGACCCAGAACGUGU